rnacentral:lncRNA from 7 species
UGCAGGAUGUAAUUAAGGUUCUAGUAGAAAAUGAUUUGCACAGCCUAUUCAGUCUCUGUUUCAGUUUAAAACGAUUUAGAUACCACUUCUUUGAGGCAUGAAGAAAACCAAUCCCAUUGCAGGAGAAUAGUUUAAAGACACAGAAAGCUAUUUAGAGCCUGAAGGUGGUGUGAGCCAUCUCAAACUCCCUCCAGUCAGAAAUGCAGGUGAUGUUAAAGGGAGGAAUGUAUGCUAGUGGAAAGCACUCACCCUCUAGAAGGAAGUUAACUUUGGCUUGCAUCAGCUUGAUGUGGGAGUCCUCUGCAGCCAUUUUCACAUCACAGGGCAGCCUUUAUUGGAAAGCACUAUAGCAUUAUAAGGAGCAAUACUCCAGUAUCUUUUUACUAUGGGUUUUAUAUAUGUGUAUGUGUAUGUCUCGAUGAACAACAGUUCAGUAGGUAAGAGCAGUUUAGUACAAGCUUAAGUUUAUUGUAGCUGGUUCCCAGUGCCUACACCUGUCUCACUAGUGGGAAGCAAUGUCAAAAUACCACCAGAAAGGGGGCAGUGUCCAUCUACUGCAUGUCUGGCACUGCUCAGUUGCAGUUGAUUGUCACACCUGUGUUAGCAGAGACUGAUAUCAUCUGUGUGGGUUUGGUGAGAUAAGUAAACAAGGCUGAACAAAAACUUAAUGUGGUUUUGCAGCCAGGGACCGGUAAUGUUUCACAAAUGGUAUAUGUGCAUAGUAACAGCAAGAAACAACAGAAAAGGCGUGCACUGGGGAGGCUUCACGAUCACUCUGGGUAGUUGUUGCUGGCACUGCUGUAGAGAAAAUAGAUUCGUGUUUUCCAAAUUCCAGAGGGCAGUGGGAAGGUGUAAAUUGCAAAUACAUGGUGAUAGUUGUAGGUGGUAGCUGUAUCAGAGUGGCUGCCAGUAGCGAGCUUUCUGCUAACUAACCACGCUAUAAGUUGUCCAGAGGACACAGCCACAGCACAGGAUGCCUGAGACAAAGCUAUUGAUUAGUGAGUACGCUGCUUGCAUGUACUGGACCCUGCCCAUUAGCUGGGCACAGCUGAAUGCGGCUCCCCAAGGAAGCUUGGCAAACCUUUGCCUUUUGGAAGUUCUCCCAGGAGGUGCUGUAGUGCAGGGGGUUGUGCUGAACAGCACUGAUCAGCUAGAAAUCAGAUCACAAUUCACGGAAAGCUCUUUAGGGUUCUUGGCUUGGAGUGACUCCUUAACAGCAUGGAAUAUGGAACUCCUUGCAUGCUAGCUCAGCUGCCAACAAAUGGCAGGUUCUUGAUCGAAGUGCUGAGUUCAGAGGGCUUUAGCUCUUCCAAAGGUCUCAGCACUUGUCACUACCAGCACCAUUGCUUUGGCUUCUUUCUUUCCUGAAAAUCGCUGUCAUUGGAGAAUUCUUAGAUGUUUAACUCCAUAUAUGUUAAUUCAUUCAAGUUGUUAAAUCAUUGAAGCACUGAACUGCAACUGAGUAGCUCUGUUCCAACCACUUUUUUUUUUUGCAGAGCUGCAAUAUAGAAGUAGUCCUUUUCUGUGUCUUAACGUUGAGUGUAAUAGGAUUUCCUUCUGAUAAUAAACUGAAGCAUUAAGUUUCUAAUUUAGGGAUGGGAUAAAAUGAGUUGUGCUGUGAUUUCCAAUCGUGGUAGAACUCUUCUAAUGUACAUGCAUUUGGUGUUUGUCUUAUAAAAACGGUCUCUUAACAAUGCCCAUUGCAGUUAAUUUGUAACUACGCAGUGUAAACAUUGAUUUCCAAAGUUUUUUUUAAUAAAUCCCCAUGCUACUUAAUUAUCACUAACUGACCCUUGUUUUCUAAUGGUAGUUAGUUUAGUGUCGCCAAGCUUUGCAAGAGAUGAGUCUUAAAUGGCAGUAGAUGUACAACCUCUUAUUUUGUAUCUACCAGGAUAGGAAGGUGUCCAAAGUAUUGCUGGAUCAUUUCUUUGCAGGAGUAGGAUCUUCCUAGCUCACUGAUGCUCCUCUUAGUUGAAUGUCUAUAAUGUUCUUUCUGGUUCAUCCAAAGCUUGUAUUAAAAGUCAAGGAGGAGCAAAUUCAAAUGAGAACUUCUUCAGGGUUUAAAAAGUCUGUUGUCUCGCUGAGCCUCUUGCUUGUGUAGGUUUUUUUUGAGGUCUGGCAUGCCUUUUGGCUAUGAACCAGCUGGAUUCUUCGGUAGCUGCCUACAUGAGUUGAGGGGAGAGAGCAGCGUGCCUGAGAAGAACUUGCCAUGAGAAAGCUCUUUGGCCAACUCAAUCCUUGUUGUAGUUCCACUGAGUUCAACAGUGGUCAGAGACUAACUUUGCUUUUACAAAUCAAGUCUUCCACUGCAGCUAUGUGUCCCAUUUCGCUAUUUAAAUGGCUGGUGUUCAGGCUGUAAAAUCAGAGCAUGACAUUUUACUCUGGUGUUCUUAUAGAACACAUGGCUAGAGAGCAGCUCAGGGACUUGGCCACCUUGGAUGAGCUAUUGCCAACAGCAAAGGGGAUGGUUGUAGAAAAAGUUGAUCAGACUGUAUCUGUUUGUGGAAAAAUAAAAGGUGAGAUGUGUACAGGGGAGACUAGAGAAGGAUAAUGUUAAAAGGUCAUCAGGCACUAGAGAUUCCAGAAGCUUUCAAGGCCAUUGCAGACCAUAAGCUACAUUCAUUGUUUUUGUUUUGCCUUAGAUUAAUCACCAAUUUGUAGCUGGUGAUACAAACCCUUGGAGUAUCCGCUAUACUGCCUGUGCUGCAAAGAAUAAUAGGCGUAUUUGGUCUGUAAGAAGAAACCUGCAGUUAAUAACAGGCAUAGAUGGAUAUGUAAAUCAUACCUAAGGACCUAAUGAAGAAGCAAUUGCUUUCCUUUUUUCCUAUACUGGCAGAGGAUACAGAUGAAGCAGGUGCCUCAAGCUGCAGGCCAGAGCACAAGGUGAAUCAGGUAUACCAAGCAAGAAUCCCAGGCUGGAUUUCCUACAGAGGCACUUCCUAACCUUUGCUGAGCAAGGCUUCAGUCUGUUACCCCCUGCCUGCCUAACCUUCCUGCAAUGC